UACGGGAGGCAGCAGUGGGGAAUAUUGCACAAUGGGCGCAAGCCUGAUGCAGCCAUGCCGCGUGUAUGAAGAAGGCCUUCGGGUUGUAAAGUACUUUCAGUCGUGAGGAAGGUGUUAAGGUUAAUAACCUUAGCAAUUGACGUUAGCGACAGAAGAAGCACCGGCUAACUCCGUGCCAGCAGCCGCGGUAAUACGGAGGGUGCGAGCGUUAAUCGGAAUUACUGGGCGUAAAGGGCACGCAGGCGGUUAAUUAAGUUGGAUGUGAAAUCCCCGGGCUUAACCUGGGAAUGGCAUUCAAGACUGGUUAGCUAGAGUCUUGUAGAGGGGGUAGAAUUCCAUGUGUAGCGGUGAAAUGCGUAGAGAUGUGGAGGAAUACCGGUGGCGAAGGCGGCCCCUGGACAAGACUGACGCUCAUGUGCGAAAGCUGGGGAGCAAACAGGAUUAGAUACC
rnacentral:rRNA from 1 species